CUUGCUUGUUCAUGAUGAAUCAACUGAUCCUUUCUCUGACUCUCGUCUGGGCUCUCUCCAGCACAGUUCGAGCACUUCAGUGUUUGACUUGCACAGAUGCACAGUGUUCAACAACAAUACCAGUCACAUGUUCCUCAGAAACGAUGUGCAUCACAGCUUCCAUUCAAGUAACUUUAUUUGGAUCACCAGCACAGCAAAUAUUCAAGGCGUGUGCAUCAUCCUCCCUGUGUCCAACCUCUGGCUCUCAGACAUUUUCAGCCAACUUGGGUGUUGCAGGCGCAGUUGCAUCUGCUAAAUGCUGCAACACAGAUUAUUGCAACGCCGAAACUCUACCCUUCCCUGGCAGUCCGGCAAAUAACAGCCAAAACUGCUUCAGUUGUAACCCCGUUACCUCUCAAUGUAAUACUGUAGCAACGUGUAGGGGAGAGGAGGACCAAUGCUUUCAAGUAAAUGUGACAAGUUGGUGUGGCACUUUUCCAGCUUUUGGCUGUGCAUCUACAAACCUGUGUGCAGCUGCUGCCAGCCUGGGUAGCAUUCCUUUCUUGCAAAGCUUUGGAAACAUCAGCAGUGGACCAUCCGCUUGUGGGAUCAGUUUGUUUAAUACUGGCACCAUAACAACACGGAUAACAACUAAAGCCCCAACAACCAGUGACGCCUCCAGUAUCCGAUUGCGCAUGAUCAACUGCACUCCUUAUAUUCAUUUCUAUAUUAUCUUAAAUCAUUUACAUUUUGAAUUCUAAAACUUCACUUCAACAUGAUCACCUUCCACUCUCCUCAUAUUUAAUCAACGACUUUAAACUUUAGCAGAUGGCCUGAUGGAUUAUGGAUGUUUUUCCAAAUUUGUUUAGUCUUGCAAAAAUAAAUGACAAGAGCAUGAAUCAAUUCUUUAAGUGUUCUAAUUAGGGGUGUAACG
ensembl:lncRNA